rnacentral:rRNA from 1 species
CCCUUAGAUGUUCUGGGCCGCACGCGCGCUACACUGACGAAGUCAGCGAGCAUGUCCUACGCCGACAGGUGCGGGGAAUCUUGUCAAACUUCGUCGUGAUGGGGAUUGAUUAUUGAAAUUCUUGAUCAUCAACGAGGAAUUCCUAGUAAGCGCAAGUCAGCAGCUUGCGUUGAUUACGUCCCUGCCCUUUGUACACACCGCCCGUCGCUACUACCGAUUGAAUGGUUUAGUGAUAUCUUCGGAUUGGCGCCACUGCGGCUCAGCAAUGGGCUCGGUGGAUGCCGAAAAGUUGAUCAAACUUGAUCAUUUAGAGGAAGUAAAAGUCGUAACA